rnacentral:lncRNA from 1 species
CCCAAAACGAUGAUGCCACUGCUCAUUACCUGCGGAGCCAGACCGGUGUGUGCCUGCGCCUCCGGAAGACUGCGCUGAAUGAAUGAGCCUCCACCUUGGUCCGGGGCGGGGACGAGGGUGGGAUCCAUUUUACACCCGGAUGAACCGCCAGGGAUUGUGGGCGGGCGCCUGGCUCAAGGAUACAACCCGGGUGAAUGGCGCAGUUCUGGAUUCAGCAGAACGAAGGAGUCAAGGCUGGAGCCCCAGGCCGCAGGCCAGAGGCGGAGCUCUCGGCACUUGUUCGGGCCCCUCCUGCCCUUCCUAGGGUGCAGAAGCAGCAGCCCAGACCCAGGCCUCCUCUGCCCGAGAGAACAGUCCAGUGAGAGCGACGAGGCCUGGGGGAGAACGUGGGAUUCAAACGGAGUCUUGAAGGGAGUCACCUAGUUGUCUCAGGCUCCUCAUCUGUGAAAUGGGGACAAGGGGGGGCCUGGCCUCCCAGGCAGCCUUGUUCCGAGGAUCCGGUGCCGGCACAGGGUAGCGGCUCCCUCUUGCCACUGGCCGGAUGCCCAAGGAGGUAGAGGUGCCGCCCUCUGUGACUCCCCCAACUUUCUCCAGGCUGUACCUGCCAUGGCCUCAUGUCUCUCUGUCUCUGUCUCUGUCUCUGUCUCUCUGUCUCUCCCCCCCCCCUUUUACCUCGACAACUGAUACUGAUAAACUUUAUGAAAAAUAGGGACCAGAUUCCCAAUUUUACUUCCUAC